rnacentral:rRNA from 1 species
AUUGAACGCUGGCGGCAGGCUUAACACAUGCAAGUCGAGCGGGGUGAUGGUGCUUGCACUAUCACUUAGCGGCGGACGGGUGAGUAAUGCUUAGGAAUCUGCCUAUUAGUGGGGGACAACAUCUCGAAGGGGAUGCUAAUACCGCAUACGUCCUACGGGAGAAAGCAGGGGAUCACUUGUGACCUUGCGCUAAUAGAUGAGCCUAAGUCGGAUUAGCUAGUUGGUGGGGUAAAGGCCUACCAAGGCGACGAUCUGUAGCGGGUCUGAGAGGAUGAUACGCCACACUGGGACUGAGACACGGCCCAGACUCCUACGGGAGGCAGCAGUGGGGAAUAUUGGACAAUGGGGGGAACCCUGAUCCAGCCAUGCCGCGUGUGUGAAGAAGGCCUUAUGGUUGUAAAGCACUUUAAGCGAGGAGGAGGCUCUUUUGGUUAAUACCCAUGAUGAGUGGACGUUACUCGCAGAAUAAGCACCGGCUAACUCUGUGCCAGCCGCCGCCGUAA